CUCCGCCAUAAAGGCAAAUUUCGAACUCCACCGAUGCCACUUUCAGCAUCACCACCAGUGAGCUCUGACGAAAUGGAUGAUCGCCACUUGCCAACAGAGGCGACAAACAGAAGAAGAAGAAGAAGAAGUUCCAGUAACGAAGGCGACGACGGCGACGGAGACCGGCCAGCGAAGGCGACCGAAGCCGUGGAAAUUGGUGACGUAGCUUUGGGCGAACGAUUCUCUCCUGAGGUUUUGGGCUUCAUGCAGCUUGCUAUAGAUCAGCCAACAAGACAUGUUGAGAGGGACGUUCUUGAUGUUCUUCUUGAAAGCAGAGGACAGGAUUUUCAGCUGCAGAAGCUGCAGAAAAGUUUUCAGCAUGCUCCCUUUUAUGUGGCACGUGAACCAUGCAUAAUGUAUGCAGCAGCAUUAUGGAUCACUGGUACAAAGGAAGUAUAUGGCCAUACAAAUGAUAAAUUUGGACGCUGUGUCUUGAUGCCGUUCAAGUACCUCCGAGGCAUGCAUUAGCUCCAAAGCCGCACAUGCCAUGGGUUAAUCAUCAGGCUGCUUAUUCAAUCUGCAUGCAUUGAUUCUUCCUGUUGAAUCCUCUCAUGCCUUUGCACAACUAGAUUUUCAUCAAGGGACCCCAGAAAGGAAGCAUAGUGCAUGUGCAUAUCAGUUUUUGCUCGGAUGUUCAUGUGUUUUACUAAAGGAACUGUGAUCAAAGUCCAUUUCAUGAUUGAACUUGUUUGCCAGAUGUUUAAGAUAAUUUACGCCAUAACCGUGUGUAGGCAUCACUUUUUUUAUGCUAAGUUUUUUGUCAUCACACAUAUUCUGUAAUCUAGCCUAAUUUUUUGAGUUUUCAAACUUUGAGGUAACUCCAGGCAUGCUAUUAAUGUGUCUGAGCUUCAUAGUUCUGGACUAUAUCAUGUGCUAUCCCUAAUAAUGAUAAAAGAGGUAAAUGAUUUACAUGU